CAGUGGAUUGGUAACUGAAAAGCCAAGGGCGGUAGCGUG
rnacentral:ncRNA from 1 species